CCAUGAUAAAACAUCAGUCAUGAAUUUAUCGGAACUGUUUCUUCCUUCAAUUUUCAGGCAUAAAUCCUUUGGUAAGGAAGGGAUCAUAUUCCCCUUUCCUUCUAGGGCUCAAAUAUACAAAUAUGAUUGACUGGGAAGAAACCCUGCCUGUUUAAACACUGCACUAUAUUCCGGCAUUUGUUAUUGCAAUGUGUUUGACGGGGCAAGUCUUCUCUCUGGUCAGGUGCAAGUUCGUUUAACUGUCACUGUUUGACGGACAGCUGAGGAGGGGCUGGAGCGAUGUGUAUUCUGAUUGGCGGUUGCUGGUUUAGAAUUCUUAGACGCUGUGAUUGGCUGGGUUCGCCCAAGGAAGUAUAAAUAUAGCCAGGUGCUAUUCAGCAGAGUUAGUUGGAGCCGUUGGUGCUCCUGGAGUCAGACAGAAGAAGGCAGAGGAAGAGGAUGGGGAUGGGGAAAGAAGAUCCAGAAGGAAGGGCAGAGGGGCUUGGUGGCCAAAGGCUUCUUGGGCUAGCCAUAUAACUUGGCUCAGCCUAAGGAGUCUACAGCACUGAAGGAGAAGAAAGGAGAGGCGGUUUGCAAUGCUGGGCUCUGGUGCCUGGUAGGGGAGCCAGAGGAAGAUUCCAGGACAGCAAGAACAGGCCUGGGGUUUCAUUUGUGGGAAUUAAAAUCUAGUCCCCAUUUACAGAGUUAUGCCAAAGAGAGCCUGGGUCUUUUGACCCUUUAAUUAGUUCCCUUUUCCCUCCUAUAAAAAGUAUGCAAGACCACCUCUGUUUAGAGUUUAAAUAACAAAUAACUUGUACUCAGUUCAGACCCUCCAAGUGUCCUAGAUUUACAGAAGCCGUCCCAGUUUCUGAUUUGAUCCUGGCAUGUCCUGCUUUUCGUUAGGACAUCCCUAACGGUCAGGCUUCACUGUGAUGGAGUAACUACAAGGGCAAUAUGGCAAAAGGGUUUUAUAACAUUAUUAUAUUUGUUAAAUAUAGCCUAUAUCUGACCGGGUUUGUACCAUGCCUAUAUCCCACAGUUGCCAGGGUUAUUGGUAGGUUAAGGGUCCAGAGAGUUUAAAUGAUGUUAAAUGGUGGCAGCAGUACAGGUUUAGGGAAUUCUUUGGGGUAGAAAUUGGGUUUUGUUAAUAAACUAAGUAAGGAAACUCCCUCCUUCCCUCGCCACAGUGACCCAAGUAAGUAGACUGUGAAAGCUACCACUGUCUCUCACAUGUAGGGAAGAAUAUUCUGAGUACAGAAUAUGUGCUUCUUUCAGUGUCUGGUUUCCUUUGAGGAGGUGGCUGUGUCUUUCACCAAAGGGGGGUGGGACAGAUGCUGAAGGGUUGGGAAGCCAUAUAUGUUAUUAUGGGGGUUGUUGUUGUUGUUAUUACUGCUACAUUUAUUGAUCACUUCCCAUCCCAAAAUGUUUUACAAUAAAAACGUAUAUAAGAAUUGCACACACAGCACAGUCUUUUGGAGGACUGAAUACCAGGG